rnacentral:sRNA from 1 species
CUCGCGUUAGGGAUUGCAGUGGAAAUCCUUUUGUGAAGUAUGAACAAAAGAUUGUAGUGAAAAGCCCGCUCGAAC